GAGUGUUUUUUUUACGCGGUGAAAUCAAGAGGCGACAAUGUCCGGCAAACUUUUAUUAAUCCAUGGCUUCGACCUGCUUCCCAUAGGGGCCAAUAUUUCCCAUGGCGCUGCGAAUAUCCGAGAUAUUGAAUCGUCUCUACGACUUCCACAAGAACCGCGACACCCUUCAGAAUAAUCCGUAAACACGAGUACAGGGCUGUCAAGGCACCGGUUAAGUGAUGGCUGCAAGAAGCAGCACGUCCACAUCACUUGUUGCUGCGCCCGACACGGCACUCCACUGCAAAACUUUUCCCAUUCUGGUUCUACAUCUCCGACGCCACAGAUGCACCUGCAGCAAGAGAAUAUUGGUACAACCACUGGCAAAGAGUAUACCAACUGUAAGGAAUUCCUGUGCUAAUGGAGGCCAACAAUCCGUCGCCCUUUGAACCAUUCUUAGUGGCGGCUGCACAUGCC